GUACAUAACAUGUACAGAGUAUACCCAUUUUUACGGAGGGAAGAAAGUUGAAAUUCCACAGUCCAACUUCCGGCGCCUGCCUUUUGAUCACUGUAGCUUAUCUUUGCAACCAUUUGAAUAUCCAGUUUGCACACCAGAUGGAACCAUUUUUGACUUGCUGUAAGUUGUC